AUACUUACCUGGCAGCAUGAUACCGUGAUCACGAAAGUGUUUUUCCCAGGGUGAGGCUUAUCCAUUGCACUCUGGAUAUGCUGACCCCUGUGAUCCCCAAAUGUGGGAAACUUGACUGCAUAAUUUGUGACGAUUGGGAAACUGCGUUUGCACUCUUCCUGA
rnacentral:snRNA from 1 species